GUCGUGAGCCAUUCGGAACAGGUCUGCAUCGAAACGGGAGAUGGAUUUUGCUGCGGCUGACAACGGCAAUAACGACAUGCAGUAAUGAGGACGGCACCAGUAUAAAGCAACACACUCCACGCACUAAACAGAAGCUGCUGCCUGCUACAACAAGGUCAUUGUGUGGACAUUGGCUACUACUACAAGAGUCUAUGCCAAGCACAUCUUGGUCAUCACAGGAGCUCCUAUCUGCGCCAACAGAAAGGGGCUGGAGGCGAAUUUACAAGGCUUUUACACCAAGAACAA